AAAUGAGAAUCUUGGUUUUUGAAAACCUAGGGAAUUGGGAAUCCUGGUUUUUGAAAACCUAGGUAAAUAGAAACACUGGGUUUUUGUUUCCUGGGUUGUUGGAAAUGCCUGGGUUCUGAUUUUAUGUGUAAAGUAAAACCCCUGGUUUCAAUUCUAUGGGUAAGUGAAAUAGGCCUUUUCUGGAAACCUAUGGGUUAUCUAGUGUGUAAAUACAGUAUAAAUACUGGAGCUUAAGCUCAGGGUAUUGGGGAUCACUUUUGAGAAUUCUCAUCGGUGUGGAUCUCGUGUGGUGGAAUGGAACAAUAAAGCUGGACCCUUGCUUCUUCUCACUCACGGCUGGUGUGUUUUUUCUAUCUCCAACUGGGCUCAGAGGUAGAUGUGAGUAUUGGCUUCUAAGUUGAGUUUUAAAUGUUUUUGGGUAAUAGGCUAAAUUCGAGCCAACACCACUUUUUGGCCCCGUACACGCCUGAUUAUUGCUGUUAAUGCUAAAUAACAUAAGCUGAAAUUUUAAAUAUUGAUGUUAAAACACUGAAAUGAGGGCCCCAUCCCUAUAUUUUGUCUAGGAUCCGACAAAUCACUAAAUCUGUCCUUGUGCUAGCCACUACACCACCACAUAGGACACAAGUUUUAUUUUAUACAUUUACAAAAUAUAUAAUUUAUUUUAAAAAAUUUGUAUGAUUUGCAUUUUUAUGCUAUAAUAUUUGUGAUUUUAUGUGAAACUAUUAUAAACAGGUGUCACUCAAGUGAAUUAAAUGAUGUAGAUAAUGACUGAAUCCUACUCUAUGGACCCUUAGUCUCUGUAUAAGAGGAUUUCACUGGAGAUGAAGUAAUAGAUUUAAACUCUAUGUAGAGCGCUCUCUCGUGGCUCCACCCACCACACACGUUCGAACCAAUCAUAUUAUCCUCCCUGGCGUCCGUGGGCGUGGCUAACCGCGUCUGUCUGUUAAAGGUAGCAGGUUGUACAUGGCGAGCGGGUUACUCACUGAGGACUGGUGAUUGGUGUAAUGGAAGCCGUCUCUGAACCGCAUUUAAUGACGGAGAAUUACAGAAUUGGAGAGAAAACGCAGCACUGAGCAACUUGUAGACUUAACACCCGACUGUAGAAUCCCUUCUAUUGUGUGCUGGAAGAUCGCUGGACUUGAAGCAACUCCAAAUGGUGGCCUGUUUGUCCAAAGCCCAGGCUGACCCCCCACCCCUUCAACCUUUGCAGCAAUGCUGGC